UGUCAGGGUUGGGUUUUAGUUUAAGGUUUGUGUUAGGUUUAGGGCUAGGGUUGGGUUUAGGGUUAGGGCAGUGGUGCGACAGAGGCGGGCCGGAGAGUGCUGGGGAGGGGGUGGGCAGGGAGCAUGGGUGAUACAUGCCUGUCCACUGAAGGGAGUUGAGCAUUCCGGGGGCGGAAAAUAUCAGCUCAUGUUCCUGUCUUAAGGAAUAACCUCAAGAACCUCUAGUGUGCUUUGACAGCGUUCACAUAUGCCAGUGGCAGUGGUGAGCACACGAUUGCGGUCACAGGAAAUGGAUCCCCAGCUCUGCCAUCAACCCCAAUUAGAGACGGGGUCUCGCUGUUGCUCAUGCUGGUUUUGAA